rnacentral:tRNA from 2 species
CAGGUAGCUCAGUUGGUAGAGCAGCGGACUGAAAAUCCGCGUGUCGGUGGUUCGAUUCCGCCCCUGG